AAUUUUCACCUGUUUAUUAAAAACAUGGCUUUUUGAUUAUAAUUUAAGGUCGGACCUGCCCAAUGAGGAUUUUAAUGGCCGCAGUAUUUUGACUGUGCAAAGGUAGCAUAAUCAUUAGUUUCUUAAUUAGAAGCUGGAAUGAAUGGUUUAAUGAGAAAUU
rfam:Tribolium castaneum complete mitochondrial genome